rnacentral:rRNA from 1 species
UACGUAGGGGGCUAGCGUUGUCCGGAAUCAUUGGGCGUAAAGAGCGUGUAGGCGGCCCGGUAAGUCCGCUGUGAAAGUCGGGGGCUCAACCCCAGGCGUGCGGUGGAUACUGCCGGGCUAGAGGAUGGUAGAGGCGAGUGGAAUUCCCGGUGUAGCGGUGAAAUGCGCAGAUAUCGGGAGGAACACCAGUAGCGAAGGCGGCUCGCUGGGCCAUACCUGACGCUGAGACGCGAAAGCGUGGGGAGCAAACAGG